GGCAAGGUGGCCGAGCGGUCUAAGGCGCUACGUUAAGGUGUUGCAAACCCCUCAAAUAUUUAUCCUUCCUCUUGGAAGGAACAAAUUCCGUAGUCUCGAAAGGGGCGCGAGUUCGAAUCUCGCCCUUGUCA